GAUAAAAUCCACAGGUCAAUUGUAGGAUGGAGCCAUAAGGAGAAAUCAGGGAACACACUUAUGGGCCUGCUUAUGUGCCUACAAAAGUGUCUCUGGGGUGAAGCCUUAAAACAGUGCAAAGGCUGAGAACAGGGACCUUGAUCCCGUCUGUGCAUGGACUUGCACAAGAUUGUGGACCUUUCUGGAGCAUGUUCUUGGAUAUAUGAGAAAUAAAAAGAAAACCCAGGGAAGCCACCACAACACGUCUCUUCAAAUGUGUCAUUGUCCCCACUUCAUAGAGGAGUCAACAGACUUUAAA